rnacentral:rRNA from 1 species
CCUACGGGUGGCAGCAGUGAGGAAUAUUGGUCAAUGGACGAGAGGCUGAACCAGCCAAGUAGCGUGAAGGAUGACUGCCCUAUGGGUUGUAAACCUCUUUUAUAUGGGAGUAAAAUGUUCCACGUGUGACAUUUUGUGUGUACCCUAUGAAUAAGGAUCGGCUAACUCCGUGCCAGCAGCCGCGGUAAUACGGAGGAUGCGAGCGUUAUCCGGAUUUAUUGGGUUUAAAGGGUGCGUAGGCGGAUGGUGAAGUCAGUUGUGAAAGUUGGCGGCUCAACCCCCAAAUUGCAGUUGAAACUGGCAGUCUUGAGUGCACGAGAAGUAGGCGGAAUGCGUGGUGUAGCGGUGAAAUGCUUAGAUAUCACGAAGAACUCCGAUUGCGAAGGCAGCAUACCGGCGUGCAACUGACGCUGAGGCACGAAAGUGUGGGUAUCGAACAGGAUUAGAUACCCCGGUAGUC